rnacentral:rRNA from 1 species
UACAGAGGUGGCAAGCGUUGUUCGGAAUUACUGGGCGUAAAGGGCGCGUAGGCGGUCUUAUAAGUCUCGUGUGAAAUCCCUCGGCUUAACUGAGGAACUGCACGGGAUACUGCAAGACUUGAGUUCGGGAGAGGGAAGCGGAAUUCCGGGUGUAGCGGUGAAAUGCGUAGAUAUCCGGAGGAACACCAAUGGCGAAGGCAGCUCACUGGGACGGUACUGACGCUGAGACGCGAAAGCGUGGGGAGCAAACAGG